ACUUUUAAAGGAUAAUAGUUAACCGCUGGUCUUAGGAACCAAAACUCUUGGUGCAACUCCAAGUAAAAGAA
rnacentral:tRNA from 1 species